UCCUUCUUAGCUCAGUCGGUAGAGCGUGUUACUGGAAUACUCUGGGAAAGAACCCCUUUGUGCAUCUUUAAUUACGAGGUCAGCCGUUCAAAUCGGCUAGAAGGAA